GACGAACGCUGGCGGCGUGCUUAACACAUGCAAGUCGAACGGAAAGGCCCUGCUUUUGUGGGGUGCUCGAGUGGCGAACGGGUGAGUAACACGUGAGUAACCUGCCCUUGACUUUGGGAUAACUUCAGGAAACUGGGGCUAAUACCGGAUAGGAGCUCCUGCUGCAUGGUGGGGGUUGGAAAGUUUCGGCGGUUGGGGAUGGACUCGCGGCUUAUCAGCUUGUUGGUGGGGGAGUGGCUUACCAAGGCUUUGACGGGUAGCCGGCCUGAGAGGGUGACCGGCCACAUUGGGCCUGAGAUACGGCCCAGACUCCUACGGUAGGCAGCAGUGGGGAAUAUGGCACAAUGGGCGGAAGCCUGAUGCAGCAACGCCGCGUGCGGGAUGACGGCCUUCGGGUUGUAAACCGCUUUCGCCUGUGACGAAGCGUGAGUGACGGUAAUGGGUAAAGAAGCACCGGCUAACUACGUG
rnacentral:rRNA from 1 species